UACGGAGGGGGCUAGCGUUGUUCGGAAUUACUGGGCGUAAAGCGCACGUAGGCGGCUUUGUAAGUUAGAGGUGAAAGCCCGGAGCUCAACUCCGGAAUUGCCUUUAAGACUGCAUCGCUUGAAUCAUGGAGAGGUGAGUGGAAUUCCGAGUGUAGAGGUGAAAUUCGUAGAUAUUCGGAAGAGCACCAGUGGCGAAGGCGACUUACUGGACGAUUGUUGACGCUGAGGUGCGAAAGCGUGGGGAGCAAACAGG
rnacentral:rRNA from 1 species